rnacentral:rRNA from 1 species
GAUGAACGCUAGCGGCAGGCUUAACACAUGCAAGUCGAGGGGUAUUUAUCUUCGGAUAGAGAGACCGGCGCACGGGUGCGUAACGCGUAUGCAAUCCACCUUUUACAGAGGGAUAGCCCAGAGAAAUUUGGAUUAAUACCUCAUAGUAUAUAGACUCGGCAUCGAGAUUAUAUUAAAGUCACAACGGUAAAAGAUGAGCAUGCGUCCCAUUAGCUAGUUGGUAAGGUAACGGCUUACCAAGGCUACGAUGGGUAGGGGUCCUGAGAGGGAGAUCCCCCACACUGGUACUGAGACACGGACCAGACUCCUACGGGAGGCAGCAGUGAGGAAUAUUGGACAAUGGGCGCAAGCCUGAUCCAGCCAUGCCGCGUGCAGGAUGACGGUCCUAUGGAUUGUAAACUGCUUUUAUACGAGAAGAAACACUGCUACGUGUAGCAGCUUGACGGUAUCGUAAGAAUAAGGAUCGGCUAACUCCGUG